ACUCGACCGGGCUGCGCUCACUGCCCAGCCGGGGCCCCGGGAGCCUCCAGGCGGAGAGGCUCCCGCCCGCCCUGAGCUGCGGCCUCCGCAUGGAGGGGCCACUCAGUCCACCACCGCUGCAGGGAGGCGGAGCCGCCGCUGCUCCGGAGCCCGGAGCCCGGCAACACCCGGGACACGAGACGGCGGCGCAGCGGUACAGCGCCCGACUGCUGCAGGCCGGCUACGAGCCCGAGAGCCCUAGAUUGGACCUCGCUACACACGCGACGACACCCCGUUCAGGUGGCUCCAACUCCUGGGGUUCAAACAGUGCUUGCUGGAGUCCUGUCCGACUUGGCUUACCCCUCCUUAGCUGUUUCCUCCUAGAACUAUCUUCAGUGGUCUUACUGGCAGGUGUUGGUGUCCAGAUGGAUCGCCUUCGCAGGGCUAGCAUGGCGGACUACCUGAUCAGCGGCGGCACCGGCUACGUGCCCGAGGACGGGCUCACCGCGCAGCAGCUCUUCGCCAGCGCCGACGGCCUCACCUACAACGACUUCCUGAUUCUCCCAGGAUUCAUAGACUUCAUAGCUGAUGAGGUGGACCUGACCUCAGCCCUGACCCGGAAGAUCACGCUGAAGACACCGCUGAUCUCCUCCCCCAUGGACACUGUGACAGAGGCUGACAUGGCCAUUGCCAUGGCUCUGAUGGGAGGUAUUGGUUUCAUUCACCACAACUGCACCCCAGAGUUCCAGGCCAACGAGGUGCGGAAGGUCAAG
rnacentral:sRNA from 1 species